GAUGAACGCUGGCGGCGUGCUUAACACAUGCAAGUCGAACGGAAAGGCCCAAGCUUGCUUGGGUACUCGAGUGGCGAACGGGUGAGUAACACGUGGGUGAUCUGCCCUGCACUUCGGGAUAAGCCUGGGAAACUGGGUCUAAUACCGGAUAGGACGAUGGUUUGGAUGCCAUUGUGGAAAGUUUUUUCGGUGUGGGAUGAGCUCGCGGCCUAUCAGCUUGUUGGUGGGGUAAUGGCCUACCAAGGCGUCGACGGGUAGCCGGCCUGAGAGGGUGUACGGCCACAUUGGGACUGAGAUACAGCCCAGACUCCUACGGGAGGCAGCAGGGGGGAAUAUUGCACAAUGGGCGCAAGCCUGAUGCAGCGACGCCGCGUGGGGGAUGACGGCCUUCGGGUUGUAAACUCCUUUCGCUAGGGACGAAGCGUUUUUGUGACGGUACCUGGAGAAGAAGCACCGGCUAACUACGUG
rnacentral:rRNA from 1 species